GCCGGGUGCAGGGAGCACGCCUGUGAUCCCAGCAACUCAGGAGGCUGAGGCAGGAGGAUCGUGAGUUCAAAACCAGCCUUAGCAACUAAGUGAAGACCUAACAACUCAAUGAGACCCUGUCUCAA
rnacentral:sRNA from 1 species